GCCAGCUUCAUCAGUGAUUCUUAACAGGAUGGUAUGUGUGUAUAGGUAAAGAGGGUUGGUCUAGUUCACCUAUUGUUGAGUAACAAACUACCCUAGAGCUUAAUGACAUAACACAACCAUUUAUUUUGUUUAUGAUUUUGUGGGUCAGGCAUUUGGAAAGGGUAUAGCUAGGUAGUUUUGUUCCACAUGAUAUUGGCUGGGCCUGAAGGAUCCACUUCCCAGAUGGAUUCUCCACUCACACAUGGGAUCUCAUCCUUUGCAGCUGCUUCACAUGGCCUAGCUUUCUCAUACCAUGGUUGUCUCAAGAUAAUCACACUUCUUACAAGAGGUUAAGCAUCUGUUUUAUUCAAACCUGGGUAAGUCAGAAGCUUUAGGCAGCCUGUUUUGCAGGAAAUUUAGUGCUGGAAUGUCUUCCUACCUCACUCUCCCAAGAACCUGCUCCUGCAGAUGAAACCUCAGAACCCCUCCUUCUUGUCAAAAAGGGGCUGGUCUUCAGCCUUGAAGUCCAGGUUGGGGCUGCCAAACUCAUUGAGAAUUGUCUGAGCCCUGUAGCUGACAAUUGGGUGUUUGGCUUUGUACACACUGGUGAAGACAUCAUCCAUGGACUACAACUUCUUGGCUAUGAGACCUGUGGUGUGUCACAGGUAAGGUCUACAUGAUCCAAGGACACCUUGGCUACCCCUCUAGCAGAGUCCUUCCUGGUCAAGGCAUUGUAGGGGGCUCUUUGUCCAUAAAACCCCUUUCCAGAGGUGACAUCAAGCCCCACUCCCUUCACUGCCAAAUAGAUGGGCUGAUCCUUCUCCUGCCAUAGUAGACCAGCCCCCCAGGCUAGCACCAGAAUCAGGACUAGCACUGCCAGCUGCUGCAGCCACUGCCCUGGCAUGGGGCCCACCACAGUGAACACGUGGUGCAGAGCAAAGGCAGCCUGGCCAGCCUAGACUUUAUCUCUCUCUUGAUUCUCUUGAUGUGGGAGUGGCACACAUUGCAGAAGGACAUGUGGGAUAGGAGAUAUUUUGGAGCCAUAUUUGUAAAAUACUGUCUGUCAUAGAAGUGUUCACCAAAGUCACCUGAGGAGCUUUUGCAAAUUAUAGCAAUUAUGCUUCCAAGUUUUAAAUAAAUUACAUAGAGGCUUCUGACACAUAUGCCUGACCAAGACCCACUAGAAAAAGUGGCUCAGGACUGACAUGUGUAAGGAGGGGAGCAGCUUUGAAUAUGGAGCUCCUACUGUAGACCAGAGAGGAAAGAAAUGAACUAGAAGCAGUAUGCAAGCCAAAGGAGAAGAGAAUUUCAAGGAGGCUGAGGUCAGAAGCACUAACUAUGAUGGAGACAGUGAGGAUGAGGAGAACUAAGCAAAGGCUGAUGAAUUUGGCUUUAAAAGCUCUCCAGAAAUCUUUGAAAUCUGUUUCAAUGGGGUUGAAAUCUGAAUUCAGAAGCUUGCAAACUGAAUUUGCAACCAAAAUAAGUUUUUUUCCACUAGAAGUGUGGCUAGCCUCAUUAAAAUCUUAUUUGUAAAGACUGAAAUAGCAGUUCUAUGACAAUAUACCCAGUCUGCAAACAAAGUGUUGUAAAGGCAGCUAAGGUGUAAACUUUAAAGGCAGCUAAGGUGUAAACUUCAAGCAAAUGGAGAUAUUUUCCUCUUGCUACUUCCUUUUAUCUUUGCAAAUACAUUGCUUGGUAUUAACUUUGAUGUUUUUCUUUAUUUGGGAUAUCAAUUCAGAAUCAUGUAGUGUAUCAGUUAGUUCUUGUUGUAUAACAAAUCACCCAAAACUCAACGCCUUAAAAUCAGGGGUCAGAAAACCAUAGCCUGUGGUCCAGAUGCCAGUUUUUGUGAACACAGUUUAUUUAGACACCACCAUGUCUGUUCAUUUACACAUGAUCUAUGGCUAUUUUUUUGCACUACAGUAGCAGAGGAGAGUUACAACACAGGGUAUGCUGCACGAACCUAUAUUAUGUACUAUAGGGUCCUUUAAAAGUAAAGGUUUGCUGAAUUCUGCUUAAAACAAUGAGUAUUUGUGACUGCUCAUGAGUCAGCUGGGCAGUUUUUCUGGUCUCAGCUGUGCUCACUCAAGCCUCACUCAUGAUCAGCUGUAAGCUCUGGCAAUGUGGGGUAAGCUCUCUCAUCUGUGGUGGUUGACUGGUUGUUGGAUAGCUUAGUAUGGCUUUGACUGGAAUCACUGGGAUCUUCUCCAUGACUUUUUAUCUUCUAAGUAUAGCCUAGUGCUAUGUCCUGAAUGUGUCCUCCAACAACCCAUAUGUUGAAACUUAAUCACCACUGUGAUAAUAUUAAGAGGUGGAGCCUUUAGGAGGUGAUUAAGUCAUAAAGGCAGAGCCCUCAUGAAUGGGAUUAAUUACCUUAUAAAAGAAGUGCAAGGGAGCUGUUUGUCCCUUUUCCCCUCUGUGUCUCUAUUUCACCAUGUAGGGACACAGCAUUCAUCCCAUUUGGAGGAAGCAGUGUUCAAGGCACCAUCCUGGAAGCAGAGACUGGGCCAUCACCAGGCACCAAACCAGCUGGCACCUUGGUCUUAGACUUCCCAACCCCCAGAACUUGCCUCUUCUUGCCCAUGGAAGGACAUGCAGCUUCUUACUCCUCUGCUGCCCAACACAGUUUACUGGCUGGCCACUCCAUGGCUAGGAUCCUUCACACUACCUGAGACCUGAUGUCUCUGGCUCCAAAGGACGCAGCUCUGCUCAUCCCCCAGUGAGGCCUGUCAUGAGUUGCUGUGGCUGUGGAAGCCUGCCAUCCUGGGAUGGAGACUUUUCCCACCACCCUGUCCCUUUAAUUUCAGCAGGCACAUCAUCCCGCCUCAUGUGGAUCCCCAGAGCAGCAGAUCUGGAAUCUCCUGUGAUGCUGAGGCCUUCAGGGACCACAGGAAACCCAUCUUAAUGAUGAAUCCUGGACUUUCUUUGCCCUUGGAACAGUCCUGGUUUCACACAUUUACCUCCAAAAGAGCACUUAACAGCUGCCACGUGGCUGCCCUGAGGUUUGGGCUGAAACAACAUGACCGUCAUACCUUCCCAGAGUCCUCCCAAGAAUGGUCUCUAGGUUCUCCUUCGCACAGUGGGGUACGAUGGGCUACUCUGCCCAAUCUGUGUACUCUCCUUGGGCUACUCUGCCCAAACUGUGAUUUGGGGCAUAUAGCUAUGCCUUCUCUGGUUCCUCUGUACCAAGGUCUCUCCAGUGGCUACCUCUUCUACUCAGCAGGACAGAGAAGCUCUCUUGGUUUUUAUUCUUAGGAUCCAGGUUCAGAAAACAAAUAAACAAACAAACAAACAAAAAACCUCAUGGUAGCUAAUCUGCCCCCUCCCUUCUCUAUGAAAUGGGCAGGCAGAGAAAAUCCCCCUGGCCCUGCCUAGCCCAUCCAUUCCUAAGGGACCUUCCCAUAGCCAGAUUGCAAGAGGAGAGCAAAUUUAAAUGAAAUAAAUAUGAAUUUCCUCCUAA
rnacentral:lncRNA from 1 species